GCCACACCCACCCCAUCUCCACCGUCUCACCACUGAUUCAUUGAUGCUAAGCUUACGUGCAGCAGCUCUAUUUCCCUCUUCGACAGCCGGAUCAAUCAUUAGCCCAGAAUACAUAAAUUAGCCAGAUCAUUUUUGAGCCGCGAGUUCAGUGUGUGGAAAAAAGUAGCAUCUUAUAGACCGGAAAUUACGGUAAUAAACUAUAGCUG